rnacentral:sRNA from 1 species
GGAGGCAUUCCGGUAGGAAGGC